rnacentral:tRNA from 1 species
CAGGGAGACAACAAAAUGUUUAUAUUAUUAUUUUGUCACCUUAGGUCGAUCGGUAUCUCACGUUUUUAAUUUAUUAAGAAUUUCAUUUCCUAAGUUUUUCUAGGUCACACCCAUUAUUUUUCCUGGGCCAUUAGCUCAGGUGGUUAGAGCGCACCCCUGAUAAGGGUGAGGUCCCUGGUUCAAGUCCAGGAUGGCCCAUAUCUCUAUGUUGGGGGUAUAGCUCAGUUGGUAGAGCGCCUGCUUUGCAAGCAGGAUGUCAGCGGUUCGAGUCCGCUUACCUCCACUGAUUACCACCUCUUCCAUAAUCGGUAGAAAGGAAACGUUUUGAGUAGUGAUCAAAUUCUGAAAGAAUCUAGCUUCCUAAUGGAAUCAUUAAGAUGCUGGACUCAUUGAAUUAAUUUCAUUGUUUUCAGAGAACCUUGACAACUGCAUAGAUUAUUUUUAAAGACAAUAAGCAUCUUUAAUGAUGCAGAUUUAUUAUUUGUGCGAAUGCAUUAAGAACAAUUCUAUUAAGCUGAUGCUUCAAUUAUGAAGUUAUU